rnacentral:rRNA from 1 species
GUACACGCUGUGACUAGCAUAUCAAUAAGCGGAGGAAAAGAAACUAACAAGGAUUCCCCUAGUAACGGCGAGUGAAGCGGGAAGAGCUCAAAUUUGAGAUCUUAAAGGGUUUCCCUUUACGAAUUGUAGUUUAAAGAAGUGUUUUCUGUUGAGGUUUUGGUAAAAGUUCUUUGGAAUAGGACAUCAUAGAGGGUGAGAAUCCCGUAUUUGACCUUUACUUUCAACUUUGUGAUACACUUUCAAAGAGUCGGAUUGUUUGGGAAUGCAGUCCAAAAUGGGUGGUAAAUUUCAUCUAAAGCUAAAUAUUGGCGAGAGACCGAUAGCGAACAAGUACCGUGAGGGAAAGAUGAAAAGAACUUUGAAAAGAGAGUUAAACAGUACGUGAAAUUGUCAAAAGGGAAGCGUUUGACACCAGUGUUGUUUUUCUGAAAAUCCAAUUAAAGAACUGUUUAUGCUAAGUUGUUUAGACUUUAUCAGCUAACUGUUUAGUUUUGAGCUUUUCUUUAAUGCACUUUUCAGUUAACAAGUCAACAUCAAUUUCUUUUGCUGUAAAAAAGCUUGAGGAAGGUGGCUUGAGAUUCGUCUUAAGUGUUUAUAGCCUCUUGCCUAUGCAGUCGGAGAGAUUGAGGUCUGCAGCGUAGAUCCUUCGGGGCUAAAUGCAUUUGUGCUAAGUUAUAGCAUUUUAUAGACAACUUGUUGACUAUGAUUUGUCUUGUAGCUUACUCGCUUAUGUUAUUUUACCUACGCUUAGGAUGUUGACGCGCGUGUGUGCGUG